GAAUGCAAACAAAACACCCCUUCUUGUUCUUCUCGGUUCUUCCACCCUAUACUUCUUCUUCUCUCAUAUAAUUUCUUCCACUGAUUUCAUUUCAAAAUGAUCUCAAGCAAAGGAAAGAUUUGUGGCUUUUAAAUCCGAAGUGGAGAUUCCAUCAUGGGCUAAUUUUUUUUUCUUACACAAAGGUAGGGGGUUCUUUCUUUUACUUCCUUCUCUUUUUUUUGAACUGAACUAUGAAUUUUGUUUGUGUUAAUCAGUCUUUUGGCAAAUGUUCAAUUAAAUUUUGUUUGUUGAAUGCGAUUUCAUUUGGGUUACAUAAAUAUUGAUUUUUUUCUUUUACUUUGCAUGUGUGCAUAUUUCUACUACUUGAUUGAAGAGAUUUGUUUUAUAAAUUCCCUUCAAAUAUGUUUUAGAAUAUGUGAUUCUGAUUUUUGUUAAAUUGAUUUUAUGAAGACUAAACCUAUUAGGCAUCUAUGUUCAUUUUCUAUCCAAAAUUAGGAGUUUGAAUUGAGUUUCUAAACUAGCCCAUUGGCUGUUUGUGAAAAUGACUAAAUGAAUAUUAUUUCAUUUUAGUAUCAUGCAUGAUACCAUGUUUUGAUCUACAUAUACACGACAGUAACCAUGAUUUUGUAUCUAUUUUUCUUUCUUCCUAAACCACCGUUUCGGUUAAAUAAAUCACCCUAUGGAUUUGUUUGAACGUGAUACCAUUUUGGUUAUGCCUUCUCAAGUUUUACUUUUGAUAUCUCUUUUGACUUAUACAUUUCCUUCUUAUACUUUUCCCCUUUUACUCAUUUGUUUUCUCAAACAUCAAAUGUUAAAAGAAAAUGACAGCACUGUGUCAUGCAUGUGAACUAUUUACCUCCGAUUUAUGGUUUACUAACUAAUCCUUUUUUUUUUUCCCAAUUUGUAUCUAAUGUUACUGUCCACUCAUGCAUAUACUAGUUACUUACGUUUUAAUCUCUUCCUCUCUUGAUUUAAAUAUGUUAAAUUAUUGAACUUAAGGAUUUUUAUGUAAAGGAAUUGAAAAUGUACAAAUUGCCUUAUUUUACUGUUGCUUAGAUGCUUGGUUUGCUAUCAGCUACGAUGUUGUUGUUUGUUUUCACAGCUCCAUUAAUUGUAUCACUUAUGUUUUCUCUCUCUCUUUUCGGAUGAAUUAUGUGCAUGAUUUACUCUGUAUUAUGGAUUUGGUUUGGCUUAAAUUCCCUUGGUGUACAGACUGUAUUUAAAGUUUGGUAUUUUACUUGGCGCCGACUUUUGGUAAGUUGUGCCCUCGUUGCUCUUGAAUCUUGAGAAGUGGUUCCCGUUUCGGAAAUUCAUUUGAGAUUUGCUGCCAGUAAGAACCAGAAAGCUAUACCUUAGGAACGUCGGGCCUAAGCGACACUCCACCACCUCGGUGGCAACCCGGAAGAUCGUUACGACAACGAUGGCUGGUACCCAGAACUACCCUGACGGUGGCACUGGCCAUGAGAAUAAUAGAGUAAAUGUUAUUUGCGGCUCUGAAUUUUUUUGUGAUCUACAUUUGCUUAAGAUUUACAUUUCUGCAUUUUUAUUUAACUGCUUCUCUUGUCUAUUUAUUCAUGUUCGGCGCUCGCACUGCGUUUUUUUGUUAUACCCUCUACUGGGCAUUCGCUCACCCCGUUUUGUUUUGUUUUUCCCCCCUCAGAGUACGAAGAGAAGUUGGAGCAGUAAGCCGGGCAGAGCUUACGGGAAUCUUUUAGCGCCAUGAGAGUUAGUAUUUUGUAAGUCUAUGAUAUUGUAUAUCACAGGGGUAUCUGGGUAGUUAGUUUUUGCUUUAGUUUCAUGUCGCUUUGUCGAAUUUUUUGCUGUGUAGAUGUUGGGACCUUGUGUUGGAUCCUUAUAUGGUUUGUAACUGAAAAAUAAGGUCUGAUUUUGCGUGUAUAUAUACAGCAUACAGAACCUUCUUUUCUCUUUGGUAUAUGGGCAUAUCUUCAUUUACAUAAUAGUAACUUCUUAGAACUCAUUUUAGUUGAACCUUAAUAUACUAGCAGGUCCCCCUUUGCAUAUUUCUAUCUAUUUGGAGCACCAUUCAUGUAUGCUUAAUUUUUUAGUAGUUAGAUGAACAUAAAUGAUGGUGGGAAAUGUUGUGUAUUUACUGUCAUUUUAAGAAAAUGGUGUAUUUGGAUUUCACUGUGUAAACAUUAUGUUUUCCAUGAUUCAUUUUGGGUUCAUACUUGUGCACAUGUUCCUUUAUAAAUUUUAUAUGUUUUAAAUUAGUACUACUACCCACUUGGAAUUUCUUUACUGGCAGGUCUUAUUUUACAUACCACUAUCUGUAACUUUUCUUUUGUUGUCAAAUUUAUCGGCAAAUGUAGGUCAUGUAGUAUAGAACAUUUUGUCUUUAAACUACGGUGUACUUUAGUGUACUGUGCACAUAUACACUGCCUUAGAGUCAUUUGGGUCUUUUUUUAAAACUUUAAACUAAGUUAUUAAGUUCAUUUUCUUUAUGAAUUUCAUCUAGUUAGUUAAGAACUGCGUUUUAUCCUAAAGUAAAGUUAUGGAAUGAAUGAUUUUCUUUACAUUUCAUUUCGUGAUCAAAAACUGAUUUUUGUAAAAUGUCUAAUAAGAUGGUAUAUAUAUGUGUUUUCGAUCCAUCUUUGGUAGUACCCACAAUAUUAAAACAUUGUAAGGAUAUUUUUCAGUUCUUUCACGUUGUUGGAGCUGCAACCAUUGUACUUUCAUCUCUUGUUUCUAUUUUUGCUUCUUGGCCUUGAAAAUUUUAUUGUUGUUGAGUGUAUAAAAUGAAUGAAUAGUAAUACAUUUCAUCUUUAUGCUAUUUUCCUUUUUCUUUUCUUUUUCGAGUGACGGACAUGGGGGUUUGGCCUUGAUGGGCGGGUUGAAAUCCAACCCGUUGGAAGGACAAAUUUACCUGUCCGUUACAGUUUGGUAUCAGAGCAGUCCCAAUUCAUUUGGGACUGUGAGUCUUGUACUUAGUUAUUUUUCGGUGCCGUGUACUUGAUUUUAAGACGUAAACAAAUUGUUUUGACUUGUAUCGUCCAAUGGUUCCAUUUCGGUUUUGAUAAAUGGAGGGUUGUUUUCGGUUUUUUCGAAUUGCUUUGGGGCUGGGGAAAACUAUCAAGAUACCGUGAUAUACAUAUCUUUUUUUGUGUUAGUAAUGUACAUUACUAACCAGUUGUGAAUCUAACGCAUUUUCUGUUUUGAAGAUAUCUUGGUGUGCGAAAUCUGUUGACUCGAGCUUUGCACGUAAGAAGAACCUGAACAAACCUUGAGAACAAUUUAGAACAACAGGUAGGUUCGAUUGUGACUGACAUUUAUGUUUUAGAGACUGUGGGAAGUCGAGUGCCGACGAAGAAUCUAAGAAUUCUCUGGGAAUUAGGGAAGUUAGGGAAUAUGAGUGGAUAUCGGUGAAUCAGACUACAAUGUAUUGUACUGAGAAGAGGGUCUAUUUAUGACAGCGUAUGGAAACUGUGUAUUCGUCAAGGUGAGAAAUAGGAAGUGAUAAGCCCUUCGAUUCGAGGAACGAGAAGACGAGACGAAUCUGUAGAACGCAUCAUUUUUUUUUGCUCAUCUUAGUAAGGCGACAAAAUUAUGGGUACGGCAGAAGGCGUUUUAGCGGUUAGAUUUUGUUAAUCAUUUUUCAGAAACUUUGCAUGGGUUACAAUCGAAGAGAGAGGUCUGCCUUGUGAUUGAAGUAUGUUGCAGACUCAUCACAUAGAGAGACCUGCAACUGUAUGACGACGUACCUUACGUGGGAAACCCUCGCAAUGAUGAAAGUAGUAUGGAGACAUCCCCCUUUUGAAGACGCAACUUGGGAGUCAAGCCUGACGUGCAAAACAACUACCCGAAGCUACUUCUAGCAAAGGAAAGAUUUGUGGCUUUUAAAUCUGAAGUGGAGAUUCCAUCAUGGGCUAAAUUUUUUUUCUUACACAAAGGUUCUGCCCUCGUUUCUCUUGACUCUUGAGAAGUGGUUCCCGUUUCGGAAAUUCAUUUGAGAUUUGCUUCCAGUAACAACUGGAAAGCUCUACUUUAGAAACGUCGGGCCUAAGUGGAACCCCACCACCUCGGUGGCAACCCGGAAGAUCGUUGCGGCAACGAUGGCUGGUAACCAGAACUACCCUGACGGUGGCACUGGCCAUGAGAAUAGUAAAAAUACAAAGAGAAGUUGGAGCAGUAAGUCGAGCAGAACUUACGAGAUCUAUGAUAUUGUAUAUCACAGGGAUAUUUGGGUAGUUAGUUUUUGCUUUAGUCUCAUGUCGCUUUGUCAAAUUUUUUGCUGUGCAGAUGUUGGGACCUUGUGUUGGAUCCUUAUAUGGUUUGUAACUGAAAAAUAAGGUCUGAUUUUGCGUGUAUAUGUACGGCACACAAAACCUUCUUUUCUCUCGUUGGUAUAUGGGCAUAUCUUCAUUUACAUACUAGUAUCUUCUUAGAACUCAUAAUAGUUGAACCUUAAUGUACUAGCAGGUCCCCCUUGCAUAUUUCUAUCUAUUUGCAGCACCACUCAUGUAUGCUUAAUUUUUGAGUAGUUAGAUGAACAUAAAUGAUGAUGGGAAAUGUUGUGUAUUGACUGUCAUUUUAAGUAAAUGGUGUACUUGGACUUCA